GGUUUAGUGACUCCACUACAUCACUGGGUGAACCGGUCAUUAUCUGGAGGUUUAGUGACUCCACUACAUCACUGGGUGAAACGGUCAUUAUCUGGAGGUUUAGUGACUCCACUACAUCACUGGGUGAACCGGUCAUUAUCUGGAGGUUUAGUGACUCCACUACAUCACUGGGUGAAACGGUCAUUAUCUGGAGGUUUAGUGACUCCACUACAUCACUGGGUGAAAGUCAUUAUCUGGAGGUUUAGUGACUCCACUACAUCACUGGGUGAAACGGUCAUUAUCUGGAGGUUUAGUGACUCCACUACAUCACUGGGUGAAACGGUCAUUAUCUGGAGGUUUAGUGACUCCACUACAUCACUGGGUGAACCGGUCAUUAUCUGGAGGUUUAGUGACUCCACUACAUCACUGGGUGAAACGGUCAUUAUCUGGAGGUUUAGUGACUCCACUACAUCACUGGGUGAACCGGUCAUUAUCUGGAGGUUUAGUGACUCCACUACAUCACUGGGUGAAACGGUCAUUAUCUGGAGGUUUAGUGACUCCAC